rnacentral:rRNA from 1 species
GAGUUUGAUCCUGGCUCAGAACGAACGCUGGCGGCGUGCCUGAGACAUGCAAGUCGUGGGAGAAAGUUGGGGCAACCCAGCGAGUAAACCGGCGCACGGGUGAGUAACACGUGGAUAACCUGCCCUGGAGACUGGGAUAACCCGUCGAAAGACGGACUAAUACCAGAUAAGACCACGGACAGUUCGCUGUCCGAGGUAAAAGGUGGCCUCUGCUCCUGCAAGCUAUCACUCCGGGAGGGGUCCGCGGCCUAUCAGCUAGUUGGCGGGGUAAUGGCCCACCAAGGCAAAGACGGGUAGCUGGUCUGAGAGGAUGGUCAGCCACACUGGGACUGAGACACGGCUCAGAGUCCUACGGGAUGCAGCAGUCAGGAAUAUUGCGCAAUGGAGGAAACUCUGACGCAGCGACGCCGCGUGGGUGAUGAAGGCCUUCGGGUCGUAAGCCUGUCGGAGGGAAGAAAG